UGGGGGAUCGUCUAACGGUAGGACAACGGACUCUGACUCCGUUUAUCUAGGUUCGAAUCCUAGUCCCCCAGCCA
rnacentral:tRNA from 3 species